CUUAGCUCAGUGGUAGAGCAACGGUUUUGUAAACCGUAGGCCGUCAGUUCGAAUCUGACA
rnacentral:tRNA from 1 species